rnacentral:rRNA from 1 species
AUUGAACGCUGGCGGCAGGCCUAACACAUGCAAGUCGAGCGGAUGACGGGGGCUUGCUCCUUGAUUCAGCGGCGGACGGGUGAGUAAUGCCUAGGAAUCUGCCUGGUAGUGGGGGACAACGUUUCGAAAGGAACGCUAAUACCGCAUACGUCCUACGGGAGAAAGCAGGGGACCUUCGGGCCUUGCGCUAUCAGAUGAGCCUAGGUCGGAUUAGCUAGUUGGUGAGGUAAUGGCUCACCAAGGCGACGAUCCGUAACUGGUCUGAGAGGGUGAUCAGUCACACUGGAACUGAGACACGGUCCAGACUCCUACGGGAGGCAGCAGUGGGGAAUAUUGGACAAUGGGCGAAAGCCUGAUCCAGCCACGCCGCGUGUGUGAAGAAGGUCUUCGGAUUGUAAAGCACUUUAAGUUGGGAGGAAGGGCAGUAAGUUAAUACCUUGCUGUUUUGACGUUACCGACAGAAUAAGCACCGGCUAACUCUGUGCCAGCCGCCGCCGUAACAC